AUGGUGGUUGGUGGAAAGCUUUUGUGGUUUUGGAUGGACUCGCGGCCUAUCAGCUUGUUGGUGGGGUAAUGGCCUACCAAGGCGACGACGGGUAGCCGGCCUGAGAGGGUGACCGGCCACACUGGGACUGAGACACGGCCCAGACUCCUACGGGAGGCAGCAGUGGGGAAUAUUGCACAAUGGGCGCAAGCCUGAUGCAGCGACGCCGCGUGAGGGAUGACGGCCUUCGGGUUGUAAACCUCUUUCAGUAGGGAAGAAGCGUAAGUGACGGUACCUGCAGAAGAAGCGCCGGCUAACUACGUGCCAGCAGCCGCGGUAAUACGUAGGGCGCAAGCGUUAUCCGGAAUUAUUGGGCGUAAAGAGCUCGUAGGCGGUUUGUCGCGUCUGCCGUGAAAGUCCGGGGCUCAACUCCGGAUCUGCGGUGGGUACGGGCAGACUAGAGUGAUGUAGGGGAGACUGGAAUUCCUGGUGUAGCGGUGAAAUGCGCAGAUAUCAGGAGGAACACCGAUGGCGAAGGCAGGUCUCUGGGCAUUAACUGACGCUGAGGAGCGAAAGCAUGGGGAGCGAACAGGAUUAGAUACCCUGGUAGUCCAUGCCGUAAACGUUGGGCACUAGGUGUGGGGGACAUUCCACGUUUUCCGCGCCGUAGCUAACGCAUUAAGUGCCCCGCCUGGGGAGUACGGCCGCA
rnacentral:rRNA from 1 species